CCUACGGGGGGCAGCAGUGGGGAAUAUUGGACAAUGGGGGGAACCCUGAUCCAGCCAUGCCGCGUGUGUGAAGAAGGCCCUCGGGUUGUAAAGCACUUUCAGUGAGGAAGAACGCCUGGUGGUUAAUACCCAUCAGGAAAGACAUCACUCACAGAAGAAGCACCGGCUAACUCCGUGCCAGCAGCCGCGGUAAUACGGAGGGUGCGAGCGUUAAUCGGAAUUACUGGGCGUAAAGCGCGCGUAGGUGGCUUGAUAAGCCGGUUGUGAAAGCCCCGGGCUCAACCUGGGAACGGCAUCCGGAACUGUCAAGCUAGAGUGCAGAAGAGGAAGGUAGAAUUCCCGGUGUAGCGGUGAAAUGCGUAGAGAUCGGGAGGAAUACCAGUGGCGAAGGCGGCCUUCUGGACUGACACUGACACUGAGGUGCGAAAGCGUGGGUAGCAAACAGGAUUAGAUACCCGUGUAGUC
rnacentral:rRNA from 1 species